rnacentral:rRNA from 1 species
AUUGAACGCUGGCGGCGUGCUUAACACAUGCAAGUCGAUCGGUAACGCGGGGGCAACCCUGGCGACGAGAGGCGGACGGGUGAGGAACGCUUGGGAAUCUGCCUAUCAGCGGGGGACAACCCGGGGAAACUCGGGCUAAUGCCGCAUACGCUCUACGGAGGAAAGCCGGGGACCGCAAGGCCUGGCACUGAUAGAUGAGCCCAAGUCGGAUUAGCUAGUUGGCGGGGUAACGGCCACCAAGGCGACGAUCCGUAGCUGGUCUGAGAGGACGAUCAGCCACACUGGGACUGAGACACGGCCCAGACACCUACGGGAGGCAGCAGUGGGGAAUAUUGGACAAUGGGGGAAACCCUGAUCCAGCGACGCCGCGUGGGUGAAGAAGGCCUGCGGGUUGUAAAGCCCUUUCGGUAGGGACGAAAGCUCUCGACCUAACACGUCGGGAGGUUGACUUAACCUACAAAAGAAGCACCGGCUAACUCUGUGCCAGCCGCCGCGGUAAGAC